rnacentral:tRNA from 1 species
GUUUUAAUAAUUUAAAUAAAAUACUGGUCUUGUAAAUCAGAAAUAAGAAAUACUUUUAAAACU